AGCGCUUUAGAGUAACGGUAAACUCACUGGUCUCCUUAGCCAGGAAUCUGGGUUCAAAUCCCAGGGGCGCAA
rnacentral:tRNA from 2 species